rnacentral:rRNA from 1 species
GAACGGCAGCACGGAGCUUGCUCUGGUGGCGAGUGGCGAACGGGUGAGUAAUAUAUCGGAACGUACCCUAGAGUGGGGGAUAACGUAGCGAAAGUUACGCUAAUACCGCAUACGAUCUAAGGAUGACAGUGGGGGAUCACAAGACCUCAUGCUCGUGGAGCGGCCGAUAUCUGAUUAGCUAGUUGGUAGGGUAAAAGCCUACCAAGGCAUCGAUCAGUAGCUGGUCUGAGAGGACGACCAGCCACACUGGAACUGAGACACGGUCCAAACUCCUACGGAAGGCAGCAGUGGGGAAUUUUGGACAAUGGGCGAAAGCCUGAUCCACCAAUGCCGCGUGAGUGAAGAAGGCCUUCGGGUUGUAAAGCUCUUUUGUCAUGGAAGAAACGGUGAAAGCUAAUAUCUUUUGCUAAUGACGGUACCUGAAGAAUAAGCACCGGCUAACUACGUGCCAGCAGCCGCGGUAAUACGUAGGGUGCAAGCGUUAAUCGUAAUUACUGGGCGUAGAGCGUGCGCAGGCGGUUUUGUAAGUCUGAUGUGAAAUCCCC